GGUGAACGCUGGCGGUAGGCCUAACACAUGCAAGUCGAACGGCAGCACAGUAAGAGCUUGCUCUUACGGGUGGCGAGUGGCGGACGGGUGAGGAAUACAUCGGAAUCUACUUUUUCGUGGGGGAUAACGUAGGGAAACUUACGCUAAUACCGCAUACGACCUACGGGUGAAAGCAGGGGAUCUUCGGACCUUGCGCGAUUGAAUGAGCCGAUGUCGGAUUAGCUAGUUGGCGGGGUAAAGGCCCACCAAGGCGACGAUCCGUAGCUGGUCUGAGAGGAUGAUCAGCCACACUGGAACUGAGGCACGGUCCAGACUCCUACGGGAGGCAGCAGUGGGGAAUAUUGGACAAUGGGCGCAAGCCUGAUCCAGCCAUACCGCGUGGGUGAAGAAGGCCUUCGGGUUGUAAAGCCCUUUUGUUGGGAAAGAAAAGCAGCAGGUUAAUACCCCGCUGUUCUGACGGUACCCAAAGAAUAAGCACCGGCUAACUUCGUG
rnacentral:rRNA from 1 species